rnacentral:rRNA from 1 species
CCCUACGGGAGGCAGCAGUGAGGAAUAUUGGUCAAUGGGCUUACGCCUGAACCAGCCAAGUCGCGUGAGGGAAGACUGCCCUAUGGGUUGUAAACCUCUUUUGUCAGGGAGCAAUUGGUGCUACGUGUAGCGUUAUCGAGAGUACCUGAAGAAAAAGCAUCGACUAACUCCGUGCCAGCAGCCGCGGUAAUACGGAGGAUGCGAGCGUUAUCCGGAUUUAUUGGGUUUAAAGGGUGCGUAGGCGGAAUGCCAAGUCAGCGGUAAAAUCGCGGGGCUCAACCUCGCUCCGCCGUUGAAACUGGCGU